rnacentral:rRNA from 1 species
AAGAUGCAUCAUUUAAGUUUCUGCUUUAUCAGCUCUGGUUGGUAGGGUAUUGGCCUACCAUGGCAUUAACGAAUACGAGGUAUACGGGUACGAUAUCGAAAAUCGAGCUUGAAAAUUGGCUAGAAGAUCUAUGGAUUGCAGCAGGCGCGUAAAUUAUCCAAUUCUGAUUCAGGGAGAUAGUGAAAAAACAUACCGAUCUGAAAGGCGUAAGCUUUUCCAUUGGAGCGGGCGAAUGUCAAACCAAUUCGCGAGACAAUUAUAGGAAAAGUCUGGUGCCAGCACCCGCGGUAAUUCCAGCUAUAAUAAGGAAUAUUAAAUUUGUUGCUGUUAAAAAGCUCGUAGUUGAAUUUCUGGGUGUUUUAUUCUGUAGGAAUAACCUUUCUGCUCAUAAAAUGCUCAUCCGUCUGUUAAUAUAUGGGUAAUGAAAGUUGCUCUUAUAAGCUCAGACAUUUUACCGUGAGAAAAUUAGAGUGUUUCAGGCAAGCUUGGCUGGAAUAGAUUAGCAUGGAAUAAUGGAAUCAAAUGAAAAUCCAUGGUUUUGGAGGUUCAUUUAGGAUUAAUAGGAACAAUUGGAGAUGAUAGUACUUAAUUAUCAGAGGUGGAAUUCUUAGAUUUGUUAAAGACUAACUUAUGCGAAAGCAUUCACCGAGGAUGUUUUCAUUAAUCAAGAACGAAAGUUUGGGGAUCAAAUGAGAUCAGACACCUCAGUAGUCCAAACCAUAAACUAUACCAAUUUAAGAUUGGAGGAGCUACAAGAACUCCUUCAGCAUUAUAGAGAAAUCAAAAUCUUUGGGUUCAGGGGGGAGUAUGGUCGCAAGAAGGAAACUUAAAAGAAUAGACGGAAAGACACCACAAGUAGUGGAUCAUGCGGUUUAAUUUGACCCAACUCGCGAAAACUCACCAAUUCAAGAAUUAUGUAUGAUUGUCUGAUUAAAGUUCCUACUUAAUUAUAAUAUUGAGUUGUGCAUGGCCGCCCUAAGACAGUGGGGUGACUUCUCUGGUUAAUUCCGAUAACAAUCGAGACCUAAUUCUGCUAAAUAGUAAGGCAGUACAACUGAUUCUUACUUCUUAGAGAGACUACGGGCGUUAAGUCCGAGGAUGAUUAGGCAAUGGCAGGUCCUGAUGCACUCAAUGAAUUGGGCAACACGCGUAAUAUAAUGACAGAUUUUAACGAGUUAAUGCUCCGAAAGGCGGCGUUUAAUCAUCAAUAUCUGUCGUGAUUGGAAUAGAUCUUUGUAAUUAUAGAUCUUGAACGAAGAAUUACUUGUAAGCGUCGUUCAUUAAACGACGCUGACUAAGUCCCUGUCUUUUGUACUCACCGCCCAUCGUUUCGAUUUAUGUUGAUCAUUAUGAAUUUUAUGGAUUUUAAGAGCAAUCUUUUAUGAAGUAACGUAAAUAAUGGUUAGUAGAAAACGAAAAAGUUGUAACAAGGUU